rnacentral:rRNA from 3 species
UGCCUGGCGGCUGUAGCGCGGUGGUCCCACCUGACCCCAUGCCGAACUCAGAAGUGAAACGCCGUAGCGCCGAUGGUAGUGUGGGGCCUCCCCAUGCGAGAGUAGGGAACUGCCAGGCAU